rnacentral:snRNA from 1 species
GUGCUCGCUUUGGCAGCACACAUACUAAAAUUGGAACGAUACAGAGAAGGUUAGCAAUGGCCCCUGUGCAAGGAUGACACGCAAAUUCAUGAAGCAUUCCAUAUUAAA